rnacentral:rRNA from 1 species
AUUGAACGCUGGCGGAAUGCUUUGCACAUGCAAGUCGAACGGCAGCACGGACUUCGGUCUGGUGGCGAGUGGCGAACGGGUGAGUAAUGUAUCGGAACGUGCCCAGUCGUGGGGGAUAACGUAGUGAAAAUUACGCUAAUACCGCAUACGAUCUAUGGAUGAAAGCGGGGGAUCGCAAGACCUCGCGCGAUUGGAGCGGCCGAUAUCAGAUUAGGUAGUUGGUGGGGUAAAGGCCCACCAAGCCAACGAUCUGUAGCUGGUCUGAGAGGACGACCAGCCACCCUGGAACUGAGACACGGUCCAGACGUCUACGGGAGGCGGCAGUGGGGAAUUUUGGACAAUGGGCGAAAGCCUGAUCCAGCCAUUCCGCGUGCAGGAUGAAGGCCCUCGGGUUGUAAACUGCUUUUGUACAGAACGAAAAGGUUUCUACUAAUACUAGGAGCUCAUGACGGUACUGUAAGAAUAAGCACCGGCUAACUACGUGCCAGCAGCCGCAGUAA